AUGCACGCUGGCGGCGUGCCUCAUACCUGCAAGUCGAGCGAACAGAUGAGGAGCUUGCUCCUCUGACGUUAGCGGCGGACGGGUGAGUAACACGUGGAUAACCUACCUAUAAGACUGGGAUAACUUCGGGAAACCGGAGCUAAUACCGGAUAAUAUAUUGAACCGCAUGGUUCAAUAGUGAAAGACGGUUUUGCUGUCACUUAUAGAUGGAUCCGCGCCGCAUUAGCUAGUUGGUAAGGUAACGGCUUACCAAGGCAACGAUGCGUAGCCGACCUGAGAGGGUGAUCGGCCACACUGGAACUGAGACACGGUCCAGACUCCUACGGGAGGCAGCAGUAGGGAAUCUUCCGCAAUGGGCGAAAGCCUGACGGAGCAACGCCGCGUGAGUGAUGAAGGUCUUCGGAUCGUAAAACUCUGUUAUUAGGGAAGAACAAAUGUGUAAGUAACUAUGCACGUCUUGACGGUACCUAAUCAGAAAGCCACGGCUAACUACGUG
rnacentral:rRNA from 1 species